ACAGAAUGAAAGCUUUAUGAGAAAGCAGAGGAACGGUUGAAGACUUAUGCAAGUGGUGCACCACCUGGAUCUGCUGCUAAGCAGAAGAUAAAGCACCAAGGCAAACUUCUUCCUCCCUCCAUUGUGCAACUCUUCCUUUUAUGAUAGAAAACUGGUGUCUGCAUCAUCUGGACAUCAAGCAGGAGUGCUAACUGGGCCACAAAGAAAGACACAAAUAAAUAAAUCUCCUAGGGUCUAAAUAUUUGUAAUGUGACAGAUUAAGUAGAAUAAUUGAGUUCUGUAAUUUCACCAAAAACCAUCAAACAGCAUAAACAGAAACUAAGAUCCAUAGAAAUUCCUGUUUCAUUGUUGUUUUGUUGUAGAUUUGAGCCAAUUUACUAAAGGUCAAGCUUCUUCAAGUAAA